UUAAAAUUAGUUAAUUUAUAACAUUAGUUUGUCAAACUAAAAUAAAUAUUUUAUAUUAUUUUAAU
rnacentral:tRNA from 1 species